rnacentral:rRNA from 1 species
GGGUUAGUACGCCGGUCAUGCCUUCGGUAUGUACUGGUGCUACCGAUUCCUACCUUCUGAAGAACCGUCAUGUCAUUAGUUUGGUGUGGCGGGGAAUCAGGACUGUUACUUUGAAAAAAUUAGAGUGUUUAAAGCAGGCUCGCACUUGAAUACAUUAGCAUGGAAUAAUGAAAUAGGACGUUCGAUCCUAUUUUGUUGGUUUCUAGGAUUGACGUAAUGA